UACGUAGGGUGCGAGCGUUGUCCGGAUUUAUUGGGCGUAAAGAGCUCGUAGGCGGUUUGUCGCGUCGGCCGUGAAAUCUCCACGCUUAACGUGGAGCGUGCGGUCGAUACGGGCAGACUUGAGUUCGGUAGGGGAGACUGGAAUUCCUGGUGUAGCGGUGAAAUGCGCAGAUAUCAGGAAGAACACCCCGUGGCGGAAGGCGGCUCUCUGGGGACGG
rnacentral:rRNA from 1 species